rnacentral:rRNA from 1 species
UACGGAGGGUGCGAGCGUUGUCCGGAAUCACUGGGCGUAAAGGGCGCGUAGGUGGCCUGUGGAAGUCUGCGGUGAAAGCCCGGCGCUCAACGCCGGGUCGGCCGUGGAUACUCUCGGGCUCGAGCUUACUAGAGGCAGAUGGAAUUCCGGGUGUAGCGGUGGAAUGCGUAGAGAUCCGGAAGAACACCGGUGGCGAAGGCGGCCUGCUGGGCAGUAGCUGACGCUGAAGCGCGACAGCGUGGGGAGCAAACAGG